rnacentral:rRNA from 1 species
CCUACGGGUGGCAGCAGUGGGGAAUAUUGCGCAAUGGGGGAAACCCUGAUGCAGCGACGCCGCGUGAGUGAAGAAGGAUUUCGGUACGUAAAGCUCUAUCAGCAGGGAAGAAAAUGACGAUACCUGACUAAGAAGCACCGGCUAACUCCGUGACAGCAGCCGCGGUAAUACGUAGGGGGCAAGCUUUAUCCGGAGUUACUGGGUGUAAAGUGAGCGUAGACGGCAGCGAAAGUCUGAAGUGAAAUCUCAUUGCUUAACCAGGGAACUGCUUCUGAAACUGUGGAGCUGGAGUGUAGGAGCGGGAAGCGGAAUUCUUAGUGUAGCGGUGAAAUGCGUAGAUAUCAGGCGGAACACCAGUGGCGAAGGCGGCUUACUGUACUGUAACUGACGUUGAGGCUCGAAAGCGUGGGGAGCAAACAGGAUUAGAUACCCUAGUAGUC